CUCUAGUAGGGUUGACUACUGUAAUGGCCUCUUAACUGGACUCCCGAAAAAGACUGUAAAACAGCUGCAGCUCAUUCAGAAUGCUGCUGCUAGAAUGUUAACCAGGACCAAGAGGACAGAGCACAUCACUGCACAGUCAGGGUACCGUUGGCUAGCACGUGGAGGUCUGUGCGACUCUCCAAGGAUAUGCCUCCCCAGACCAUCACUGACCCACCGCCAAACCGGUCAUGCUGGAUGAUGUUGCAGGCAGCAUAACGUUCACCACGGCAUCUCCAGACUCUUUUACGUCUGUCACAUUUGGUUAAUGUUUGCAUUGAGUGGC
ensembl:lncRNA